rnacentral:rRNA from 1 species
AUACGUAGGGUGCAAGCGUUAAUCGGAAUUACUGGGCGUAAAGCGUGCGCAGGCGGUUCGGAAAGAAGGAUGUGAAAUCCCAGGGCUCAACCUUGGAACUGCAUUCUUAACUACCGAACUAGAGGAUGUCAGAGGGGGGUAGAAUUCCGCGUGUAGCAGUGAAAUGCGUAGAUAUGCGGAGGAAUACCGAUGGCGAAGGCAGCCCCCUGGGAUAAUACUGACGCUCAUGCACGAAAGCGCGGGUAGCAAACAGGAUUAGAUACCCUGGUAGUCCACGCCCUAAACGAUGUCAACUAGCUGUUGGGCCCUUCGGGGCUUAGUAGCGUAGCUAACGCGUGAAGUUGACCGCCUGGGGAGUACGGUCGCAAGAUUAAAACUCAAAUGAAUUGGCGGG